rnacentral:rRNA from 1 species
AGAGUUUGAUCCUGGCUCAGGACGAACGCUGGCGGCGUGCCUAAUACAUGCAAGUAGAACGCUGAAGGAGGAGCUUGCUCUUCUGGAAGAGUUGCGAACGGGUGAGUAACGCGUAGGUAACCUGCCUGGUAGCGGGGGAUAACUAUUGGAAACGAUAGCUAAUACCGCAUAAUAUUGAAUAUCGCAUGAUAAUUGAUUAAAAGAUGCAAUUGCAUCACUACCAGAUGGACCUGCGUUGUAUUAGCUAGUAGGUGAGGUAACGGCUCACCUAGGCGACGAUACAUAGCCGACCUGAGAGGGUGAUCGGCCACACUGGGACUGAGACACGGCCCAGACUCCUACGGGAGGCAGCAGUAGGGAAUCUUCGGCAAUGGGGGCAACCCUGACCGAGCAACGCCGCGUGAGUGAAGAAGGUUUUCGGAUCGUAAAGCUCUGUUGUAAGAGAAGAACGAGUGUGAGAGUGGAAAGUUCACACUGUGACGGUAUCUUACCAGAAAGGGACGGCUAACUACGUGCCAGCAGCCGCGGUAAUACGUAGGUCCCGAGCGUUGUCCGGAUUUAUUGGGCGUAAAGCGAGCGCAGGCGGUUAGAUAAGUCUGAAGUUAAAGGCUGUGGCUUAACCAUAGUACGCUUUGGAAACUGUUUAACUUGAGUGCAGAAAGGGGAGAGUGGAAUUCCAUGUGUAGCGGUGAAAUGCGUAGAUAUAUGGAGGAACACCGGUGGCGAAAGCGGCUCUCUGGUCUGUAACUGACGCUGAGGCUCGAAAGCGUG